UGGGAUAGGAAAUUCAUAGAACAGAUAAGGCCAAGGCAAGGAAUUGGAGCUCCCGGAGGAAAACUGCAGUAAAGAACACCGGACUCCCCCAUUUUUUUUCUGGUGGAACCAGGGAGGGAUCGGCAAGAUGAAAAUUGAAAAGGGAAAGGAGACAAGUCCCCCCACUACAAAGCCCCGUCGGCUCACGUGCUCUGCAGCUGCUUCCUCGCACAAAGUUACAGACAAAUAAACCCGUGAGCUGACAGAGCAUCAGUUCUAGGCAUGUCCACCGGACACCGGAGAUGAGAACCAGCGGUGUGGGGAGAAAGAAAAAAAAAUUAUGAAAAUCUCUCAUUACAAACUUUAAAUGGAUUCUCAGUCUAUGUAUCAGUUGUUUUCCCUCUGCUUUAUUGUUCUACAAUAUCCAGAAUGCACUGGCCUUAUCAGAGACAUCAUCCCAUGGCAUGCACAGAAAAAACUGGAUUAAUGGGGCCGAAUCCUUACAGCUAGCACUGAAACCGGUAAGAAGUGGUGUGGGACACCAAAUGCUAAAGCCUUAUGAGAGCUGCAGCUGGUACUAAAUUGUUUACAGCUAUUUUAUAUACAAGGAAAGGUUGUGAGACGUAAAAGGAGAUGACAAUUUUAUAUAGAAAAAUGUAUAAAUAAACAUACGGGAUAAGUACUGCAUUGCUGUAGUGUUUUGAUAGGACCUUAUGACUUUUAUACCAGCUUUGCUGCACAUUUGGUUUCUGAACGGAGGAUCAAGGACUUCCAAUACUAAAUUGCAUUUAUUUUCCAGAAGAGUGGCAUGUUUGUGGGUAAAACCUGGAUUGCACCCCUGAAAGCCGACCGAGAACCUGGUUUAGACAGUGCAGAACCAACAGGCCAUGAACUGGAAUUUGUUUUUAAUAUCUAUAUAAAAAAUAAUGAACGAUUUACAGAUCUCUCUCUAGUCAGAACCUCAGAAGUCUGUAGAAAGGUGCUGUACAAUAUAUAAACAUUUACACCCAGUACAUCCAUACAUUGCGUAGCAUUCCAAGGCCACAUGGCUAAGUCUGAUACAGGAAGUACAGAUACAAGGUCUCUGGAAGGAGAAAUCACACACAGGUAAGACAUUAUCAGGUCACAUGAACAUAUAAAAAAUAGAGAGGAGUUGAUGUCAGGGAAAUUAUUUCAGUGAGGCUAAUUCAUCUGGAACUGAAGGACUGGGUUUGUCGCUGUACUCAGUGGUCAGGCUGCGUGCACACAGCUCAACAUAAACCAACUUCUAGGGUAGAACACAGGGCGAUAUCUACACAGGUUACUUCAGAGUAUUAAAUAUUUCACAGUCAUAUUCCACCCAGGGAGUAUUCGUACGUGUUACGCUACACAGCAAACCCGGUGUCAGUGGCUCACCUGGUGUCUAGAAGGUGAGCACAGUUCAGAGUUGCUUUAAAAGCCUUUUGAAUUCCCAAAGUCUUCGUUUAAAAGCUGUUUGAGCAGUCAGCUGUACUUGUGAAGAAUUCCACUCAGAACUGCCUCACUGUGCUUUGUUAGCCUUUAAACACAUUUAAUAUUUCAAAGCCAAAACCAGAUAUUCACUUGCAAAAAGUAAAUCCCGUUUGUAUUUUAGGUUAGUAAAGCUCAAUCCUUUACUCUUCUUUUUCCAGCAGACUGGACCAAGGGCCUCCUUUUACCACUUUUCUGAAGUCAUUAAAAAUCUCAGAUGUCAGGAAAUAAUCACUAAAACUGUGAAUAAAAUAAACCCCUUCUGUUUCUGUUGUUCUGCUGUAGGACUAAUGUGUCAGUAGGUUCUGGUGGUAACAUUCCUCUUUAAAGCACCUCUGCCAGCCCAAACCAUAGAUGGUGUUUCUCCUGUAUCCUGUUUGUAAUCAACACUCCUUGAUCGCACAUUCAUAGUAAAUAGGGGAAAGUUCUAAAAUACAUAGGCAAGAACUUCACUGAAAAAGCUGCUUUGGCAGCUGAGUCCAUCCUAAGGUCACCUGUUGCCUCUACAGAGGGAAAACACCCAAUUCCUAAAUAGCAUUAAAUGAAUAAAGAUGGGACUUCAGUAUCAGUUCCACAUCGAGGCUGAGGGUGUCAUGGUGCCACGAGUGAAACCAAAGGAAUUCUGUUAUUUAACAGAACCCAGAAUUUUAUUUCCUCUCAGAGAUGUUUGCAGCCCAAACCCCUGCGAAUCAAAGUACUAAAAUGAUUUUGCUGUGUCAGAAAAAGCAAAAUUGCAAAAUUAUGUCAAGUACCACAUUUAGUUACAGGGUUUGGUAUUAGUUAUAAAAAUUCUAGGAAACAUAUGAACUGAGCAGCAUCGGCAGCUCACUUGCUGCCCUGGAACUGACAGAACCAACUUGCCCAUGUUCACCCUGACCCAGCAAGAACACGUGGAUUUCCUGAUGCAAAUGUGCAACAUGCUCUACGAGAACACCCACUUGAGCCCAAACCUGCCUUGUCUGUGACUGGAAUCCAUGUGGGUAGGAUUAGAUUGACUGGACACAGUAGAUAGCUUGGCACAA